rnacentral:rRNA from 1 species
UGGGGAAUAUUGGACAAUGGAGGAAACUCUGAUCCAGCAAUUCUGUGUGUGUGAAGAAGGUUUUAGGACUGUAAAACACUUUUAGUAGGGAAGAAAAAAAUGACGGUACCUACAGAAGAAGCAACGGCAAAAUACGUGCCAGCAGCCGCGGUAAUACGUAUGUUGCGAGCGUUAUCCGGAAUUAUUGGGCUUAAAGGGCAUCUAGGCGGUAAGACAAGUUGAAGGUGAAAACCUGUGGCUCAACCAUAGGCUUGCCUACAAAACUGUUGAACUAGAGUACUGGAAAGGUGGGUGGAACUACACGAGUAGAGGUGAAAUUCGUAGAUAUGUGUAGGAAUGCCGAUGAUGAAGAUAACUCACUGGACAGAAACUGACGCUGAAGUGCGAAAGCUAGGGGAGCAAACAGG